UAUGCCCCUAAUGAUAUUGUGUGUGUAUCUGCUGUGUUACGUUUAGUAGUUAGAAGAGAGGAGAGAGUCUAUGUCUACCCUCAGUAAUUUGACAUGUGAACAAUGGAACGAUUAGAGGUUUAACACUUCCUGG
ensembl:snoRNA small nucleolar RNA SNORA17